rnacentral:rRNA from 1 species
GAUGAACGCUGGCGGCGUGCCUAAUACAUGCAAGUCGAGCGAACAGACGAGGAGCUUGCUCCUCUGACGUUAGCGGCGGACGGGUGAGUAACACGUGGAUAACCUACCUAUAAGACUGGGAUAACUUCGGGAAACCGGAUCUAAUCCCGGAUAAUAUAUUGAACCGCAGGGUUCAAUAGUGAAAGACGGUUUUGCUGUCACUUAUAGAUGGAUCCGCGCCGCAUUAGCUAGUUGGUAAGUUAACGGGUUACCAAGGCAACGAUGCGUAGCCGACCUGAGAGGGUGAUCGGCCACACUGGAACUGAGACACGGUCCAGACUCCUACGGGAGGCAGCAGUAGGGAAUCUUCCGCAAUGGGCGAGAGCAUGACGGAGCAACGCCGAGUGAGUGAUGACGGUCUUCGGAUCGUAAAACUCUGUUAUUAGGGAAGAACAAAUGUGUAAGUAACUAUGCACGUAUUGACGGUACCUAAUCAGAAAGCCACGGCUAACUACGUG